rnacentral:tRNA from 1 species
GCGUUGGUUAUUCAGUGGUAGAAUUCUUGCCCUCCGUGCGGGAGACCUGGGUUUGAUUCCUGGCAAGUGCA